GCAAGGGUACUAGGAGUCUUUUUGUGUGGACUGGGAGCAGAUGUGAAAAUAGGAGAAACUGAAUAGCCUGAUAUAUUGCUGUAGGGGAAUAACAAAAUACGUACUCCUAUCUCUCAUCCAGAAGAUUGUUUCAUUACCCCCCAAAGCAAGGUUGUCCCCUUACUAAAUUCAGGACUGUUGGUGACAAGCAACAUACAAUUAGGUCAUCUCACAAGCAAAAGGUGAACUGAAUGAAUAUUUAUAUGUACACUACCAAG
rnacentral:lncRNA from 1 species